CCCUCUUCCACUAUAGCUGUUCUCUCCUGUGUCCAACCCCUACCUCCACCACCUUCCCUCCCACUCCUCCCUGUCCCAACCCCCACCACCGCCUUUUUCCCUCAAAUGUAUCAUCAACAUCUCUCUCUCUCUCUCUGAUUUGCAAAUCUGGUAUUUGGUUUUUUCAUCCUUUGUGGGUACGGCGAAUGGGUUGUUUUUUUAUUUGGGUGAAAUCAAGAUUAUGGAGCAGCUUAGGCUUAGGUUUCAAUUCUUUACAAGUGCAAUGCAAUUUAAUCUCAUGCCUGAGAAUCAACUGUUGAGUCCCAAUGCAACACUGGUGAAGAAACUUCGUGAUGCAAUUCAUCAACUGAAGCUUAGAUAUGGACUUAGGCUCCUUUUGGAUGCAAAAUCAGCCAUGAUUUGGGAACUUCACAGACGUUUUGUUUUUCAUUGAGGUUAGGUUCCCUCAUUUCUAUGCCAGAAAUUUACUUCUCCUGACUUCCUCACCAAGAACAGAGAUAAAUCCUUUGAAUCUAAGUGACAAGAGCAACUAUCUAAAUCCAUCCAAAAGCAAGAGGUGAAACGAGAAGUGUUUUUGAACUUAGAUCCAUAUGAUAGGGUUUGGUGGCUUCGACGUGAGUAUGCUGAACAAAAUCCAAUUGCAUCAUUUUCAUUCUUGGUAGCAACAUCCUCAUUUCCCUUCCAACCAUACACAUCAACCACCUCCACCAUAAGCUCCUUAGAAUUAUUAUUGUAAUAUAACUAUAUUACUUUUUUAUAUGUAAAACUAAUGUAAGAUAUUUUUUAUGUUUGAUAUUUUUAUGCUAUGGUUUUAAUCAAGUUUCCGUGUU